rnacentral:rRNA from 1 species
AGAAUCAACGCUGGCGGCGUGCCUAACACAUGCAAGUCGAACGCGAAAGGGGCGCAAGCCCUGAGUAGAGUGGCAAACGGGUGAGUAACACGUGGGUGACCUGCCUUCGAGUGGGGGAUAACGUUCCGAAAGGAACGCUAAUACCGCAUGACAUCCUGCGUUUGGAGACGCGGACAUCAAAGCUGGGGAUCGCAAGACCUGGCGCUCGGAGAGGGGCCCGCGGCUGAUUAGCUAGUUGGUGGGGUAAUGGCUCACCAAGGCGACGAUCAGUA